rnacentral:rRNA from 1 species
GGCUGAAGUAGGUCCCAAGGGUAUGGCUGUUCGCCAUUUAAAGUGGUACGCGAGCUGGGUUUAGAACGUCGUGAGACAGUUCGGUCCCUAUCUGCCGUGGGCGCUGGAGAAUUGAGGGGGGCUGCUCCUAGUACGAGAGGACCGGAGUGGACGCAUCACUGGUGUUCGGGUUGUCAUGCCAAUGGCACUGCCCGGUAGCUAAAUGCGGAAGAGAUAAGUGCUGAAAGCAUCUAAGCACGAAACUUGCCCCGAGAUGAGUUCUCCCUGAGACUAUAAGUCUCCUGAAGGAACGGUAAAGACGACGACGUUGAUAGGCCGGGUGUGUAAGCGCAGCGAUGCGUUGAGCUAACCGGUACUAAUGAACCGUGAGGCUUAACCUUACAACGCCGAAG